rnacentral:tRNA from 1 species
GAGCACACACACAAAAAAAUCCAAUGUGGCCGUGGGGUGGCGCCCUUGCCAGUGGGGUGGGGAUGGGGGCACAGAUCUGCACCCAAGGAGAAGGUCCGCUGAGGGCUGAGGCAGGAGACACCCUGGAGAGGCCCAGCAGGCAGACCCAGGUGCUCAGCCCGGGCGGUUCCCUAGCCAGAGCCGCAGACGCCGACCCGGAGGCGGCAGAGCCCUAAGCACCUGGAAAGCUGUCAGCCAGACCGUCACCGGGGGAGACAGCACGGUCCUGCAACACGACCUCGGGUCCCGGGAUACGACUCAGAGUGGGGCAGGAUUUUUCCAAGCAAGGAACUGCAAGGCCCCUGCCCGCUCCCGAAACAGCGGUGAAGGGUGAGGGGGACCCCUGAAAGGCUGCACGCCCGCGGGACGCAGAGCGGCCUCGUCCUGAGCGGGCCCGGAGCUCGAGGCCAGCACGCGCGGGCGCAGCCUGGCGCUCUGGGCCCCGCGCGGAAACCGAAGAGGAAAAGAAAAAGUUGUGCAAAUGUCCUGCAUGUGAAUCUACACAGAAAGCCAGAGAGCACUGGACGAGGGAGCCCCCCGGGAGACCCGGCGCGCCCCGUACCCUCUGUGCGUGGGGUUGGCUUGCCCGUAACGUACUUCGAGCUGUCGGAAAGCGAGGCCGCGGACGUGACUUCCGGCUUCCAGGCCGGCCCGCGCGGAAUCGGGGACGCGAGCGAGCACCGCGGGAAGGCUGGCCGCCGAACUGCGCAGGCGCAGGGGCCCGGCUGCACCUCCGCGGAGCCGCCACGCGGGGGCAGCCGUGAGCCACGGGAGGCCCGAGCGCCCCGAGAACCGGGCCGGUACAGGCCGGCUGCGAGCGCCGAGGCAGCGGAGAGGACGACUCGCGCGUCUCCAGCUGGACGUGGCGAACUCUGGCUCGCAAAAGCUAACUUUCGCCCUAAAUGGGUGAUUUUUCCCUAAAAGGGACAAAGCCCACGCCCUGGUUCCACUGGGGCUCGAACCCAGGACCUUCUGCGUGUAAAGCAGACGUGAUAACCGCUACACUAUGGAACCGCGCGCGGAAAGUGGACCGGAAUCUGGUCAUUUAACGGGCGCCCGGUGACGCCCUGCGCGGGUCGGACGCGGGGUGCAAUCGCAGGCGGACGCCUCGGGCAGAGCACCCGGCUGCACCUCCAUAUCCAGGACAAAACCCAGCACCCCUAGCUCGCAAAGGAGCCCCGAGCACCCUCAAAAUACCAGCGGGGCCGCCCGUGGUUCCACUGGGGCUCGAACCCAGGACCUUCUGCGUGUAAAGCAGACGUGAUAACCGCUACACUAUGGAACCGCGCGGUGGCCGGCCGCCUCCGGGCGUAAUCAACCCCGCGCGCAGCCCUCGGCCUGCGCCCGCCGGGACCGAGCCGCCCGUGCCCGGCUUCCCCCGCCGCUGCCGCUCAUGCUCCUGCUCCUCGCCCGCCCGGCGCGGCUCCCGGGGCGAGAACGCGCGCCCGCCACGGAGCUGUAGGCGGCUCGGGGCAACCUCCAAGCAUCUGGCUCUGUGGCGCAAUGGAUAGCGCAUUGGACUUCUAGACAAACAAAGACAUUCAAAGGUUGUGGGUUCGAGUCCCACCAGAGUCGCUUUGUUUUGAUGAAGUCGGAUAAAGAAAAUUAAAGUGACAGAAGCCUUUAAUCCGCACUCGGCCGCGCCCUGGUUGGGGACAAAGGCGGUCGCUCCGGCGCGUCGGGCCCCCUCCCGAGGCUCCUCCAUCGCUUUCCCGGGGCUCCGGUUUCUGGGUACUGAACCCAGAGAUCCACGAGAUGCGAUCGAGGAGACGCGGGCUGAGCGUGGCUUUGCUCGUUCUGUUUCCAUGCAACGCUCGCGAUCCGAAUCCAUCCCGAGCUGUUCGGAAACUUCAGUCCGUGUUGCCCGAGUCGCCCGGAAGGAAAACGCCAUCCGGCAGGGUGCCGGGGUGGCCGAAUGGUUAGAGCGUCGGACUUAGGGCUCCGUGGUCUCUGGGGUGCGCGGGUUCGAACCCCACUUCUGGCGGCUCUGUGUUCGCCCUUCGGCGUUCCCUGUUGGGACUUUAGGUGCGCAGACGCCGGGAUCUGGGUCUGAAUCUGAACCCCAGACAGUUCCUUUUCGCCAGAGCAGAGAAUGCGGGACGACUUGAGAAUCCACGGCUGGGAAGGAGCGAAGGCAGCGUCCACCGAAAGCAGACCCGAUCCUCUCCACCGAUGUUGCUGCGCCGCCGCGCAAAGGCCGAGGGGCGGGAGGAGGAGCCGGCCGGCCUGCGGGCGGACGCGCGGGAGGACUGAGGAGGGGCCGGCGCUGCGAGAGGCUUCGGGUGGCCCCGCGGGCCGGCGCGGAGGAACCAAGGCGGCGCCGGGACCACCGGGCUCGGUCCUCAGAACCUUGCAGCACUGAGGACGUGGGUGCUUUGCACGUUUCUCCGCUGAACGCUCAGAAAUCCCAGCCUGAGAAGCUCCGAUCUGAGUGGAACCGGGGAAUCCCAAAGCGCGGGAUAACCUGACAGAUAGCGUGUCCCGCCUGCCUCCGGAGAAGGCGGGGCAAAGCGCUUAAGAACCCGGGGGCCGGGGGGUCGCGGUGGAUCCGGCCCCUCGCCUCGCAGGAUCACAGCCCUUCCGUGGCGCCUUUGCCAGACAGGCGGAGGGCGGUACCGGCCCGCAGGGCCCGGGGAGCUCAGUCGAUAGAGCAUCAAACUUUUAAUCUGAGAGUCCAGGGUUCGAGUCCCUGUUUGGGCGAAGCCUAUUUUAAAAUCCACACUCGCUUUUCCGGAGUCCCGAGCGAGCCCCGGGUGUUGGGGGAAACCCGGCUGGGCCCAGGCUGGGAGUUCAGAGAUGGGGCGAGACGCAGCCGGCUUUGCAGAUUGCUUUGUAUCAGUUUUCCCUAUGAACUGACAUGCAGUACUUUUCUGUUCAAAAAACCAAUGCCCCGUGGCCUGUUGUCAGGAUGUGCUGCUUCGCGUCCGCAAGUAUUAAACCACGGAGCUCAGGAGAAGCCAGGGCUAAGGCCCUGGCCGCCUGUGAAUCCGGGGAAAGACCCAUGUUGGGGGCCGGCUUCGCGUCUGUCGCUGCGGGGCACCGGCAACCUGCCGAGACCUGGGACCGAACCUAGGACCUUUUAAUCUUCAGUCUGACGCUCUCCCAACUGAGCUAUUUCGGCAGGGACGAACGCUUCCUUGCACGUGCCUAGGGGAAUUUGAAACAGAAAGAAUUCGUUUCCCUUCUCUCCAACUUUUCCUCCAAAUGUUGCCUCCCGGAGCGCCCUGCUUUGAGCUGUGAGGCUGGAGAACAGCGGGGAGCAAGGAGGCCCGGCCUGGCCGCCCUUCACCGCCCCAGGCCGGCGGUGCCCAACCCCGCCCUGCUGCAGCAGCGGCCGGGCUCCGCUCCAAAGGCCGCGCAGUGCCGCCGAACGGAGAGCGCCUCUCGUCCGCGCCCGGACAGGCCGGCCGCAAGGUCGGGGCUGAGACAGAGCGACCACCACGGCUGGAGGCCUGGAGGAGGAGGAGGAGGAGGACCGGGUAGGGGCGCUCGGGCGCACUCCGGCUCUGCCUCUCGUCCCGGAGCCCCGACUUGGCCCCCGCUGUCACCCGCAGACGUGCGCGGCGCCCCCAGGCCUCGGCGCGGCCGUGCGGACAUCGGCCCCGGGGCAAGGUGGCCACCGAGGAUCCGAACACGGCUUUCUCUAAAUGCCGCCGACACAGGUACCCCCAACACCGGUUCUCAUGGUGCAAAAAUAACUUAAAAAGCAGCUGCACCACGAACAGGGACUCGAACCCUGGACCCUCAGAUUAAAAGUCUGAUGCUCUACCGACUGAGCUACCCGGGCUCACAACGUGUUCUUCUGCUCCAGUGCCUUAAGAGUGCUCCGCUUCUCUGCGAACCUGCAGACGCCUUCCCGGUGGAUUCUGGACCCCGCCCCGCCCGCGAUCCCCUCGGUUCCGAAGCCGCGAGCCGCGCAGAGGGACUACACGCAGCCAGCGAGGGGAGGCACCCAUCUGGGCCGGGCUGCGGAUGCAGAUCUGGACGCUGAGACCCCGCCCCGAAAGAUGAGGCUGCGCCCCGCCCGGCCGCGAGCAGGAGGAGCCAAGGGUCCCAGCCGCAGCGCACGGCCAAGGCCGGGACCCGAGGGCAGCCACGUCCCAGUCCGCAAGCCGAGAAACGGACAAGGAGUGAAGCGAUCCCGGUCACGCCCACCGAAGGGUACGCCCUCGGCCACACCCCACCCACGGCCGGCCUCUCGGCCUCCCUCGCCCCGCCCAUAGCCGGCCCCGCGCACGCGCAGCUGGGGCCUCGGUCCGCCCCAGGACGCACCCGGACACCUCCGGCUUUCGGGCCUGUGCUCUUCCCGGGCUAGCUGGAUGUCACCUCCCUUUCUGUUCCCUUGCCCUCCUUCCUCCCAGCACCUGACUCUCGUAAUAAAAGAAUAGAAAGAGAAAAACAAGUGUAUGAACGUGUGUCUCAUGUACAGAAAGGGAGAUGCCAGGAAAUGAGUCAUUCUUAAAGACGCGGAGGGCUUGGAACUCCAGUUUGUACGGCAUCGUCAGAAAACAAAAUUUGGGGCGCGAUGACGACGCCAGGAAAACCUCGGGUUUCCAGGGACAGCCAGAUGACUCGGCCCGGGACCUGCGGCCUCCGGCAGCCCCAGCACGCCUCGCUGCGACUCCGCUCCGCGCUGAGAACGGCUAGGGCUUCGAGGGCAAAGGCCCAGGUUUCCAGGGGCGACUCCCCCCGUGAGGCCGAGGUGGACGAUCUCGAGGCUGAGGGCAGCAGUGCAGUCUCGCUCCCCCCUUCCUGGGUAAAACACGCUAUCCGGCUUCCCCAGAAACAGGACCAGUGAGGUACAGGUAGCCUAUUCGGUGGGACUCCCGGGAAACAGAAACCAUAGCCUGUAAGUACAUUUAUCCAACUAUAGAAAAGAUUUAUUUUGGCGCAUGGUUUCAGAUGUUUCAGUCCACUGAAACAUUGUGGCAGAAGGGCAUGGGAGAAAAAAAGUAGAAGCGAGAUGCAUCAUGCACAGGGCCAGAUUCCCUAGAUGGAUGUUGUCCUUAUGUAUAUCUAAAAUGCAUCAAUAAAUGUUGUGCUUUUUUAAAAGGCCAUGGGAAAGUGUUAGGAAAAAGGGAAAAGAAACGGGUAUGAGCUCACAGGACGGGUUUACUGCAGAACAAACGCGAGAGGGAGGCUCUGGCCCUGGAGACCAGACCGCUGCCCUCCUCCAGGCUGUGGGCUCUUUUGUAGGAGGGGUGGAGUUCACUGAAAAGGGUUGCAGCUUCCUGACAAGAGUGAGCCUGAGAGAGCGAAAGGGGUAACAGGAGCCCAGCUGCUAUCAAUAGCAGGGCUGGUGGUGUCAGUUCCAGAUUCGGUCGUGCUGAGAGUGGCGGGUUAGAGACAACUGGGAUCAGGGUGCGACGCCGCUGGAUUCCUUCAGAGCGGAAAGCUGUUACCUCAGGGCAGCCGGGAAGCGGAGCACGGAAGAGCCAGGGAGGGCCUCAGGGUGGCGCUGCAGCCCAGCUGGAGGGUCGAGAUGUACCCUUCGAAGACAACCGCACGCAGUGCCCACCUCAUCCAACUAGGCUGCACUGCCCAGUGAGCCCACUGAGCUAUUAAUCUACCACGAAGUGACCCACGUGGUGAGGUGGAGCCUCAGAUCCAUUCAGUUACUCAGAAUUCCACUGGCCACAACAGGACCCCCUGCACUACGGGGCUUUGGGGGGACAUUUGGAUUCCAGCCGUAAGAGAUAGAGAAGAAAACAGACUUAGAGGCGGAUGGAUUUUAAGAACUUGGUCUAAACAAUUGUGGAGGUGGAGAGGUUCAAAACCUGUGGAGCAGGUUUAGCAAUCUGCAAUCUAAGUGAGCUGAUGCGGCAGUCCAUUCCGCAUUCCACGGGGCAUGGAGCUGGAGACCCAGGCGCUCUUCCUGUCUGAGUUCUGAGAGAGCCUUCUUCCUCGCAGAGCUUUGCCCUCCGGGGCUUCCCAAUAACCACAUGUCCUCAAAGCCUGCUGAUGCAAAUGCUCAUCAAAUCUUUAAAAGCAGAUACCUCCCCAAGAACUUCUAGACCAAGCAACUGGUUGCUGCAGUCCGACCACGCAUGCUCAUGCGAAACGCCCAGGACCUCAGGCCGACCCGGUCGCUCAGAGCCGCCUGUCCACGUAUUUGGCCACCAUCUUGGUUUCCUUGCUUUUGUUCAUCGCUGGAUUUUCCCCAAACCCCUAAUAAAACGCAUCUGUCCACCCAAGAACCAAAGCCUGUAGAGGAUGGAGCCCCUCCUCGGUAGGCAGCUUAGCGGAUGAACAGGAGGGGGCUGCAAAGCGUCAGUCUCCCUUUUGCCUUUGAGACCCGGAUCUCACCACUCUCCCCAAGGUUCCUCCUGCCUGGCCUGGCCAAACCCAAGGAGCUGCCGCAGCCAAGUGUGUGUCUGUCGCAUCCCCUGAGGGCGGCCCAGCGUCUUACAAAAGUUGCUUUGCUGUCCUUUGCUAGUUUUAAAAAUUAGGCUCCAGUCCGGGGCCUCCAGACUGCCCUGUGCUCCACCUGAACCCCACAGGGGUGUGGACAGCUCCUGGUGACAGAUGAGGGCUCCUGCUGGGGGUCCCCUGGUGAUUCUGCCCUUGGGCUCAUCCUUCCCAGGCACAGACAGGUAGGUGAUGGAAGCAGAUUGCUUUGCACGCUGUGAGGCUUUGAGGAUCGAAAUCGGAUAGGUCUGCUUGGGGAAGGAAGUGAGCAGGUUUCCUGGGCCAGGCACAGCCCCUGAGCUAUGGCCAGGGUCUGGGUCGGCCGAACCCUACAGCGCCCUGCAGAGCAGACCUCGAUCCUGGGGUCCGCAGGGAGGGGACCGUCAGACCCAAACCCAGGGAGCUUAGCUGACUUCCACUCAGGAGUUUAAAAGAAGCACCGAGUGUGGGAGAGGUAACGCCCAGAAAGUGACUGAGCAACUCGGGAUUAUUUCCAAAGUGCAGAGCAGCUGUGAGGUUUAUAAAACCACUGCCGAAACCCAGGAUUGAACCAGGGACCUUUACAUCUUCAGUCUAACACUCUCCCAACUGAGCUAUUCCAGCUGCACCCCAGUGGCCCAUUCUUCUAUGUAUUACAAUGAAGCAUUUGUUUUAUAGCACCGGAAGAGCUCAUUACGCAAGUUUAGCCGGAGGCAAACAUUUUACACCAGUUAUGGAAGAAGCGAAGGCGAGGACCUGGUUUACAGAGGAAAAACUGAUAGAUAACUACUUUUCUAAGGCUUUUAAUUGCCUUGAAAUCUUUCUCAUAUAAAAAUAAUUCAUGGGGACCCCACUCCCCGCAUUUAUAUGGACCUGUUUAAUGCUUAUAACUUCACGUCAGCCCAGAAACAGCUGGACUGCCUGGACAGCGCCGUCUGUUUAGCAGACAUUCCCUCUAGGUCUCACCUUUUCUCCUUGAUUUUAUUAUGCAGAUAUUUACAUAUAUGUGUAUAAAUGUGCUGCUCUUGUAUGAAGGCAGAUGUUACAAGGUCAAAAGUUAUGAACAUUUCAGUUAUUUUUUUACAUAUGUAAUCAAUUUGGAUACCAGAAAUGCUUAGAAGAGGAUUUGGCAUGUGCCAAGCCCUGGGUUUGAUCCUGAACAGUGUAAAAAGAGAAAAAGAAAGAAAGAAUACAACAAAACAGAAGCAAAAAGACACAGAAAGGCCACCUGUAAAGGUUUCACGGGAGACUUCGAUUGUUAUCACGUCUUGUGGUAUCCACGGCAUAGUAUUCAUUAAAAGCACUGAUUUGCUAAACCUCACAUUAAAAAUAUACUUUAACUUGCUG